GACGAACGCUGGCGGCGUGCUUAACACAUGCAAGUAGAACGGAAAGGCCCUGCUUUUGUGGGGUGCUCGAGUGGCGAACGGGUGAGUAACACGUGAGUAACCUGCCCUUGACUUUGGGAUAACUUCAGGAAACUGGGGCUAAUACCGGAUAGGAGCUCCUGCUGCAUGGUGGGGGUUGGAAAGUUUCGGCGGUUGGGGAUGGACUCGCGGCUUAUCAGCUUGUUGGUGGGGUAGUGGCUUACCAAGGCUUUGACGGGUAGCCGGCCUGAGAGGGUGACCGGCCACAUUGGGACUGAGAUACGGCCCAGACUCCUACGGGAGGCAGCAGUGGGGAAUAUUGCACAAUGGGCGGAAGCCUGAUGCAGCAACGCCGCGUGCGGGAUGACGGCCUUCGGGUUAUAAACCGCUUUCGCCUGUGACGAAGCGUGAGUGACGGUAAUGGGUAAAGAAGCACCGGCUAACUACGUG
rnacentral:rRNA from 1 species